AGGAAAAACACAUAUUAUCUUAGACUGCAAUCUAGUGUGAGGAUGAGAUGGUAUUUUAAUAGGGCUGCAUUUAUCAACUGUAACAAGGGAGGGAAUGUGCUCCAACCCAGCGCGCCUUGUGGGCAAUGCAAGCAAGAGUCAGCGACUGCGACCGCCGGAGGAGUGCGGCGAUGGGAGGAAGGCAGACGGACAGACAGCCUGCUGGGAACGAGGGCGCUCUGCAGGUGAUCUCGCAGGGGAGGGUGCGGCACCCACUGCCCAUCUUAGCGGGAUCCCAUCCCCUCGCUCCACCAUCCUCAAUGCUCCUGGAAACCUGAAUUUCUGACUUGACUUGCGAUGGGAUUUGCAUGUCUAGCCAGUGACACUACUAUUUUCAGAAGUAAUUACAUUUUUAAUUACGCUUUUUAAUAGCUGGUAGCUGCUGCUUUGCAGUUUUGUUCCUGUCCCUCUUGGACGCACCUUGGAGCAACACCAGGAGCCUCCACUUCCCUUCCAGUGAGAUGUGAGAGUGUGAACACACAGCGAGAAAGGGGAGAACGCGUGUGUCAAUGCGUGCAACUGAUCUCGCAGCCACAUAUCGCAGCUGGAGACUGAAACCAGAGCUGGGCAGUGCAUCUCAGAGCCACGGGAACAGCCCCUCAGCAUUUCCCAACACAAGUCUGGAGAAAGAAUGAGGAAGACAGAAGGGCCCAGAUCUGCAGCGUGCAGACAGAGCUGGUCCUAGGAAAAGCACACCAGCUUUCCUCUAAAUCAGGCGUUUGGGCUGAGCGCAUGUGAUUGUAGGAGAAAGGGAAAGUGAUCAUAUAAAAGCAGCCACAGGAGAGGUGAAAUAAACUCUUCAAAGAGGGCUCGUGCUGGUGCAGAUUCUGCAUUGAAAAUCCAGAGUCAGAGAAUUCUCUGUGACGUUGGGCAAGGCGCUGCAUCUCUUACCAGCUCAGACUGCCAGUUGGUCACCGAGACACACCAACCUCCACACUGCUCCUGUCCAUGGAAACAGACAGAGGUGUGGAAGAAUGAGGGCAUGUCUUUUCUAGAGAUCCAAAAGAAGGAGAGCUCUAAAUACAACAGAAAGGAAUUAGAGGCAGCUCAUUUUGAUCCAGGCAGAUCCUUCAACCUUUUGAAAUUUAAAGGAUCCCUGACUUUCCUGAAGCAGUCUCAAGACUCCCAUGCACCCAUGUGCAGAGAAAAUAAAAGUCCCUCUGCGCCGCCUGCUCAUUAAUUUGCUUUUCUUUUCUCAUCAUUUGUUUGCUAGCUUGUCUGCUUGGGAAGAUGGCGUGGGUUUCUAUGAUUUUCCAGUCAUUGCCUAACCCACCUGUUGUAGGGCCCAGCAGCGCUUAAUGGCACUGAACACCACGGAGCUGCAAUGCCCAUAAGCAUGUCUGUUCCCAGUCCCUUUGGAGUCACUCCCUCACAGACACCCUUUCAUCAGCAGAUUUCAGGUGUGCAGCAAACCCUGGGCGCAUGGAGCACAGCAUACUGGAGCACUGCUGGCUGCACACCCCAGCACGCACCGGUGCGUGUCCCUGUCCAGCCAGCUACAAACAGCAGCACAGAGUGGCUGUGAUUUGGCAUCUCAUUACCACAAUGUCUUCGGCAGUUCAGACCUGCUGCAGCCCUGCAACUGGAUUCUCCAACACACUCCAUGUUGCUCCCUGGCACCCAGAGAAUCAGCUGGAUUUUGCACCAUAGGAAAGCUCUGCAAACACUGUAGUUGUUACCAACACAGACACACAUUCCCACAAAUACCACUCUCAUGCUAGAUACAUCCAACCAAGCAGCCAAAUGGUUUAAAGCCAAGAGGUGGUCUCAGAGCCAGUAAACUACAACCCUUGGAAAUCCCUAAGAACUCCAGAGGCAGAGUGCCCACUGCUCUGCACUGUCCCAUGGCUGCUGCAGUUUCCUACCUAUGAGUGGUGUUGGUUUUGCAGACAGUGCCACAUCUGAACCUGUCAGGCUGCAACAAAUGCAUCUCAGACCCAAGAGCCAGAAGCUUUGGAUGCGGUACCUCCAGAGUGCAGCCCUCCAGGAGAUCUUGGUGACAUCCAGAGCAGAAGGACCUGGUGCUAUACCUGGAAUUACCAGUCUCAGCCCAUGGAAGUGAAGUUCGGAACGUCUGAGGCACAUCUCCUCUUCCAAAUCUUGGAAAUUCUCCCACUGUGGUUUCCCAAACCUCGGUGUUGACAUGUCUUGUUGGGCCUUAUGACACAGAAGUUGGACUGGGUCUGUACUGGAUCCCACUUUUGCCCUGAGUCUAUUAGCAUAACAUUUUAGUCCCUCUCGCUCUUCCAAACUGACACACAGUACUGCUGAAGUUCCUAAAAAUCUGGGAUUCUGCUUUUCUUGGAAAUCAAUGGACUUUGCUGGAGACCGGGUGAUGGAACACACAGCUGGUGGAAUGGACAGCCAAAGAUCACUAUUUUCCUUUUAAGCAAAUCAAUGUGUUAAUUGGGAUUCUGGUGGGAUUCUGAAGCUGCUAAUGGAGGUGGGGGCCAGUGGAGGAUCAUUAGUCUUUAUUGUAAGCAGUACAGUUAGUUAAUUGGGGUGUGAUUGUGUUGUUGAAAGAGAGAAC
ensembl:lncRNA